UCUGAGAACGGACAGCAGCUAAAAUAGCUUGGGGACCCACCGAAGGGCAGGUUAUUUUAGCUGCUGUCCGUUCUCAGAAUACUCUUGUG